GAAAAAGGUUCAGACAACGUGGUCAGAGUUUUAACUGGUUCUUAUACGGUAUGUUCAGUGUGUCAACGUUAAAGACAAGUAGAAAUCAGUCUAAACAAAAUAACACAGCUCAGCCUAGCAUUUCUGUAAGAGAGGAGAUGCUGCUUAAAAUCACAAUCAUUCCAAGGUUCCCUGAAAAAUGUCAUUCCACGUGACCAUUCUUUUCCAAGUAAUUUCCAAAGUCCAUUAUGCUUAAAUCAGCAAGGGACUCUUACUUUGGAAAAUAUCCAGCUUGUUACAAUUCUCUGACCAAACAAAAGCUAUGAAAGAUAGGAGAGUUCUAUUUGCAUUUGGUUUUGGUUAUUUACUUUAUUAUCUUGCUUCCUUCUCAAGCAGCUAAAGACAAUGCAUAGAACACGUCUUAGUUCCAAAGAUCUGGAUCUUAUAUGUGGAGAGCACUGAAUUUAAUGGCAAGUUGGUUGUUGAGUGGAAACCCAAUAAUUUUGCAUUGGGGAAGUGAGAUACUUAUUUCUACACCACGGAGAAAAGGAAAAAGUGAAUCCAUACCGUGUAUGAGCAGUUUCCACAGGUGGCUUCACAAUAGGUGACUUGAAUGGCUUUCUCCACAUAUGGAAAACUCAGAAAAGUAUAAGGUAAGCCAAGGUGAUAAACAAGA